rnacentral:rRNA from 1 species
AUUGAACGCUGGCGGCAGGCUUAACACAUGCAAGUCGAGCGGGGAAAGGUAGCUUGCUACCUGACCUAGCGGCGGACGGGUGAGUAAUGCUUAGGAAUCUGUCUAUUAGUGGGGGACAACGUUCCGAAAGGAACGCUAAUACCGCAUACGUCCUACGGGGGAAAGCAGGGGAUCUUCGGACCUUGCGCUAAUAGAUGAGCCUAAGUCGGAUUAGCUAGUUGGUGGGGUAAAGGCCUACCAAGGCGACGAUCUGUAGCGGGUCUGAGAGGAUGAUCCGCCACACUGGGACUGGGACACGGCCCAGACUCCUACGGGAGGCAGCAGUGGGGAAUAUUGGACAAUGGGCGGAAGCCUGAUCCAGCCAUGCCGCGUGUGUGAAGAAGGCCUUUUGGUUGUAAAGCACUUUAAGCGAGGAGGAGGCUCCUUUAGUUAAUACCUAAAGAGAGUGGACGUUACUCGCAGAAUAAGCACCGGCUAACUCUGUGCCAGCCGCCGCCGUAACAC